CCCUUCCGAUUUAUUGCACGGGGACGUCGGUGACAUGGAGAACACGCAAACUUUACCGAUUAAGUUGGAUUCUCGCUGCACAAAUACACGCACAGAUAAUUACAGUACACUAGUAGCCUAAGGAUAAUACGAUAAUGACAUAAUUAUGAAGUAACACGCAAUAUAGACAUGCUAAAAUUGCUCAUGUUGAGGUUGUCUCAUAGAGUGGAUGAAUUUAUAAUAGAAAAUAUAUUGAAAUAGGUAUAUCUUACUCUUACAGUGUUACAAUAUAAUAGAAGAAGCUAUGGUAGUAUAUAUAUAAAUAUAUAAAGCAAUAAAGCAAAAAGGACAUUACCAAAAAGUUAACCUUGUAGCUCUAGCUGAAGGCUAUAAGAAACAUCAACAGAAAUCUACUUAUAGCUCUUCUGUUUCUAGUUCUUGUAAGCCAAAAUAAAAUUUAUAUUCAAGGACACAAUAAUAUGGAGCUCCCUUUAUUUCGAUUUUUUUGUUUUACUAAAUUCUAUUCUCUUCAUAACAGCGAUUUCCAGGUCACGGAUAUACAAAAGAAGAGGUGUAGAGUUUUUCUUGAAGUAAUUACUUCAACAGCUCAGUUAAAAUUAGUGAUAUCUCUUAAGAAUACAAUAAUAUAGAAUAAAAUAAAAUGUAUAUAAAAAAAUAUUUGUAUUUAUUUUUUGAAAAUUAUAGGCUUGAUUAAAUAUGAA